ACUUCCUUUGGGAUAAAGGCUCUUUCAGGAAGAGGGGUGGGGUCCUAUCCUCCAUUCCACUUCCCAACUCUGUGCUGCCACCCCAUCCUAUACCUACCUGCCCAGACCCUGGCAUCCCUCUACCCUCCUCUGUGGCCAUCUGUACCUUAUUGGAGCCACAGCCAAGCCUAAGGAGUGGUCAUGCUUCUGUGAAGCCUUCAGUUCUCUGGAGAACAGCCAAGAAGAAAGGAAUCUGGGCUCAGCUGCUCCAGGAACCCCUUCCUUCCUGCACUGUGAGCUGAAGCAGAGCUGUAGCAACACUGAUGGAAUGGCCACGUACCACCCAUAACGUCAUCUCUCCCUGGGAACAGGAAGGGGAAAUGGAUCAAGCAUCCAAGCAGUCAGGGCUUAUGUAUCUCAAGCUCUUCUUGAAUUCACUAUGCAGCCAAGAAUGACCUUAGACUUUUGAUUUCCCUGUCUCCACAUCCUGAGUACUGGGAUUACAGGAACUCAGAUUUUCCUGAGUCCUUGAAAUGGCGUUGGACUAUCCACCUGGAAGUCACAGGUACUUCACUGGAACUGCAGGAGUGGAGGUAUGGAGUGAGGGUGUUGCUCCUCAUUGGCUGUUGAAUUUACUCCUCCAGUAGGUCAGGGAAGCUCAAACUAAUCCAAAAAGCUGCAGAGGCAGCAGCUGCAGCAGCUGUGCACUGGGCUUCACCAAUCAGCCAGCUACCAGCAUGCUAAUGCUAACCCAAAGAGGCAGCGGGACUCCGGUAUCACAGUGCCUAGCUCAGGACACCGUGCUAAGUGGACCCAUUGUUCCUGGCUCGCUGACAGCUGGGUGGAGCAAAGAGGUGAUCCAGCUAUGGAGCACCACCAGGAACCACGUAGAAGGCAUGGGGUAACAGUCACACCUGCCUUUAAAUCCCAGCCACUCACCAGCUGGUAGACUUGGCAAACUCUGUUACUUCUUUGAGCUUUAACUAUCCCAUCUAUAAAAUGGGCACGGGGACAAUGGCCAAUCUACAGGGCUCUGAGAAGAAUUUAAAAGAUAGAAAGUGCCUGGCUAAUGUUUUUGCUGUUUGGGUCACAGUGAACACUUCAGAGGCCUUGGUCCAAAUGGCCCAGCUUCACAGUGCAGAUCCUCUGGGACUUAUCUGAAUAUAUAAUAGAGUGAUGACUAAUGAUUCUCACUUUUUUUUUGUUCUGUGCUGUGGUGUAGUGUGUGUGUGAGCAUGAGUGCGUGUGUAUGUGUGUGUGUGUGUGUGU